rnacentral:lncRNA from 1 species
UUUCUCUCUUAAGUUUGUUUUUUCUAUGUCUCCAUUUUCUUAUAUUCAUUAGCUUUUCUGAAUUUCCAGAUUACGGAUCUUGUACUAGCAAAAAUUUCAUUUUCAGUGGAAUCAACGAUACUGGUAAAUUGAGGAGUGCUUUUAGAUUGCUGUAUUUAUUAUAAUAACCAAAAAAGCAUUGCCGUAUUUAUUCUUCUUGCUACCUCUAGACAGCAAUAUUAAUGAGGAAAGUUGAUCAUGAUGCUUCUGAAUCAUUAAUAUCACAAAAUUGUAAAGCUUGCAGCAUUUAUGCUAUGUAAUAUUUAUCAUUAAAAUUAGGUUAAAGUUAGCAUUGUUUAAAGCAGUUGUGACCUCGGUUUAGCAUUCCUCCUUAGUCAUUUAACUUUUCACAAUUAUCAGCCCUAAACAUUUGCAGUGUCGAAAACUUCCAUUUCCUCUCAACUUUUAGGCCA